UAGGGAAUCUUCCGCAAUGGACGCAAGUCUGACGGAGCAACGCCGCGUGAGUGAAGAAGGAUUUCGGUUCGUAAAACUCUGUUGUUAGAGAAGAACAGCGCAUAGAGUAACUGUUAUGCGUGUGACGGUAUCUAACCAGAAAGCCACGGCUAACUACGUGCCAGCAGCCGCGGUAAUACGUAGGCGGCAAGCGUUGUCCGGAUUUAUUGGGCGUAAAGCGAGCGCAGGCGGUCAAUUAAGUCUGAUGUGAAAGCCCCCGGCUCAACCGGGGAGGGUCAUUGGAAACUGGUUGACUUGAGUGCAGAAGAGGAGAGUGGAAUUCCAUGUGUAGCGGUGAAAUGCGUAGAUAUAUGGAGGAACACCGGUGGCGAAAGCGGCUCUCUGGUCUGUAACUGACGCUGAGGCUCGAAAGCGUGGGGAGCGAACAGG
rnacentral:rRNA from 1 species